rnacentral:rRNA from 1 species
AUGAGUCUAAAUAAACAGGGGCUGGGUUUGAACAUGGACAGUUUUGAAAAUUUCCAUCCUCAUGUCAUGUUGACACCACAUGUUGGAACAGAGAUAUUACGAGAUCAGGAAUCUCUUCCUACUGGGGAAAGGAAGAUGGCGACUGUUGGGGUUGAUGGGACACUUUGGGGGAUCCAGAAGGCCAAAAAAUAUGGCAUGUUUCGAGCUACGAUCCCAGCUCACUGGUCUUUCAUGUUUGCUACUGGAUUAGCAACCGUUGGAGCUUGGUACAAGUGGAGGGAAAAAGGGAGGCGUCGCAACAGGGCGCAAAGCUCAUGGCGUCUGAAGCGUUCCAUUUUCUUUCGGAAAGGAGGAUACCCCCGGGCCUCUGCAUCAAGGGAUGCACACAGCCAUCCAUGGAGGCAGGAAUUUUCUAUUUUCUAUCUCUUGCACGCCGUGUAG